GUGGAAGGGGCAUGCAGAGGAGCAGGAGAUUCAGUUGGAGCUGGAGUUCACCUCCCCUUUUCUGUCUCCUGUGCUUGCCUCUUCCAUU
rnacentral:pre_miRNA from 1 species